rnacentral:lncRNA from 1 species
CUGUGGCAGAGACGGAGAAGAUGAACAGGGAUUUUAUACCAGGCGUCAGAAGGGAACCAGUGCUAAAGAAAAUGAAAACACCGGGCUGGGAGAGGCAGCUGGCAUGCGGGCCGUGGUGGUUUUACGUGGCCGAUUUGAGAGUGAGACCCCUGGGGUCUUGGAGCCAGGCCUGGGAAAAGCUACUUCACGUCAGGCCAGGGGCUGUAGCCCUGGCAACCUCCACUCUGCCUGGAAAUCCUCCACCUCGGGGCCUCUCUUUGCCCAGACCUGGCCCAGGAGGAGCACAUGGGAGCCGGGACCUUCCCAACAAUCCUUGCCGUUGGCUCCACAAACCUCAGCCAGUCCUGCAACCUGGGAUGCCUUCUGCACCAGGAUGCCUGCUACUGUCACUGUUGUCAUUAGAUAAUUAAUGAACUAUAAUUAGAAAUCAUAUCAAUAAAAUUUCACAGUCUAAGGCUGU